CCCAUAUAAACAGAGCAGUUCUGAUGCUGGGGCCAGGCAACAAUAUCACCUGGCUGGAGAGUUGCUGAUAUCAUCUGGAGCAACAAGGCGUGGUGGGCAAGAACGCGGGCAGUUGGCCCAGGAACAGGUGGGCGGGCCACGGCAACAUCAGCCCCAAGCAGGCCCCCUGUUACAGAGCCCCUUGGACCCUGCUCUCCCUCUUCCUCCAUGUCAGUGUGACUUAACUCUCAUUCCAGCAUUUUAUACCAACAUCAAAUGUGUCCCCCAUUGGGUACAAUCUUGAUAAAGAAGCAUGGGUCAAGCUGAAUAGACUGAGAUCUGGAUAUGGACACUUCAAAACAACACUAUACAAGAAGAACAUGUUGGACAGCCCCCUCUGUGAAUGCGGUGCCCAGUAAACAGCACUUAAUUGAAAGCUGCAAUCUUUACAAAUGCCCAGACAGGGUACAUGGAAUCCACACACUAAGUGAUAAUAAAAGACAAUGGUUUAUAGCUGACUGGAGGGAACAAGGGCAGUGGUUGGAAACAGACACUUUGCUGACUUGUCAGUGACAGCCCAAGGGGUGGGGUUGGCCCACUACUUGGGCAGACCACGUGAACUCUGGCCAAAGCUAACCUGUUGCCCCUUGAUUGGGGUGCCACAAAGCAACAUGGGUUGCCAGAGGAAUGCAACCUAACAUGAGGCGCAAUGGGAUCUGGUACACAUUUGUUAUGGCACUCUUACAGUGCUGAAGUUUGAUACCACAUCCAUCCAGGGUUAUCUUAGAGUGGGAUCCACCAUUUUUACAGUGCUCUAUGUGUUUUGACCAUCUGUUUGGUUACGACUGUAAAAGCACUUUCUGCUCGCCUACUGUGCAAUAAGUGUAACUUCUGUAUAUGGCCUGAGAUUUCAAAGCUGUUUCUAUUCUGUAUAAAGACCAAACAGAAACCUUUAAAAAUUUUUCAUGAAUAAAAAAGAGAGCGGUUAUAAGGCAGAUUCACUUCAGAAUUGCUAAUAGGCCAGUGGUUAGAACAUUCAACUCUGCCAGCUACUGGCCUAAUGGCUAUUCCAGGGAUUUUGACUAGACAAUCCAUUCUGGAGUCCCACUUAAAGUGUUAGUAUUUUCAAAACUAUUAGGUGUCUACAAAAAAACUGAGGUUUUGAUGAAUUGAUAUCUUCUGAAAAAAACUCUUUUCAGAAGCUCUUCAUUUUUUUGUUUUGGAAUGAUGAAAUUACAAAAAAGUUUGGAAGUCUCAUUCCAAGAACAAAACAAAACAAAACAAAACAAAACAAAAAACCUCACAACAAUAGUAAGGAUUAUUUGUAUUUAAGUAUCUGAAUUGUGAAAUCUGUACAUUUGGAAUGACAAUUUCAUAACAGACUUUUUGUUUCAAGUCUUCCAGAAAUUCUGCUUCCAGUUGUCCAGCUAUACUCCAAGAACUGACUUUUUCUUUUACUUUUUACCUUUUUUCACACUUAUACUUUCCUUCACAGUUCAAAAUUGGGAGUGAAAAAAAACAGGAAAAUAAGUUGUCCAACCUAUUUUAAAUAUCAAUAUUUGAUCAAAAUUUUGAAACAAGUUUUUGGUUAAUUGUCCAUUUUCACCAGCUAUGUCACUUAUGUAGUAAUAAUAUUUUGUAUUUUCAUAGCUCCUUUCAUCUCAAGGGCUCAAUACUUCCACUUUAACACUGGUGAAGCCUAACCUGGAAUAUUGUGUCCCAUUUUGAGCACCACACUUCAACAAAGGUGUAGAAAAUUGUCAUGAGUCUAAAGUAGAACAGAAAAAAUUAUUAGCAGUUUAGGAAACACAACCUAUGAGAACGUUGGAAGAACUGUGAUUACUUAGGCUGCGGAAGGGGAGGCUGAAAGGAGAUUUAAUAGCAGUGUUGAAAUAUAUGAAGGGUAGUAGUAAAAAAGAUGGGGCUAUAUUAGUCCCUGAAUCCAAAAGGAACAGAAAAAGGAGAAAUGGUCUGAAUUUGAAAUGAGGAACUUAGGUGGGAUAUUAGGAAGAACAUCACAACUAUUGGGGUGGUUAAGCACUGGAACAGAUUAUUUGAGAAGUAGUGGAAUUUCUACCCUUGGAAAAUUUUAAAGAACAAGUUAGGCAAGCACUUGGCCAGGAUAGCUUAGAGAAUCUUGAGUAGGGGGUUGGACUACAUGACCCUCUGAGAUACCUUUUUGCUUAUUUUUUCCACCAUUCUAUUUUUUGAUAGAGUAUAGAGAAGGGAUUAAUUCAAAUCUGUUGAAGACAAUGGGAAUCAUUUCGCUGAAUCACAGCCAAAAUGUCUUUAUUUUUCAGAUGUACUUUUGGUGUUCUAAACAGAUGUCUUAUUUUGAAUCAGCAAGAGCCCUGAGAGUGCAAGAUGCCCACAUCUGUCUCAUUUAGGAGAUAAUCUUUAAUUUGUCUGAGGUUUAUACUGGUAACUCUUCCAUGGGUCGAUUAAGAAACGAAAGGGUGGGUCACAGGUCUGUAAAAUUUAAUGUUAGUGGCAUAUCAUUUUGAUCUUUUGAGUAGGUGGCCAUUUGAGAGGCAUCACCACUCAUGCAGAAAGAGUCAAAACUCAGUUGUACAGAAGAGCUCAUGAGAUAUUCAAAUCCCAUGGUAAAGCUGCCAAACUAAUGGAACACAGUAUAGCCCAAAGACCUACAGGAUCAUAUUUUAAACGGUUGUCUCUUCUGUGUGAAGAUCAUCUAAAACUGGCAGUUUACAAGGGCGGAGCUUAUUUUGGAAGUCAACCUUAGAAGUACACCCUUCUGUGUUUGUUGUUGGUGUUUGUUUUUUCCCUGAGCUAAUAUUGGUUCUGACUCUGCUUAUAAAAUUCUAUUAGCAUACGCUUACAUUUUUAAGACUGUAAAUCCCUUUCUUGCAAAGUUAUGCAAGUAUUUAAUUCGUGUCACAGAAGCAACUUCAUUAACAUUAAUGAGCCUUGUCAUAUGCCUAAAAUAAAGUGACUGAAUACUUGUUUUUAGAAUUGGACCUCUUGUCUACAAAGGGUCAAAUGAUGAAUUCUGCCACUUAAGCAUGCUGUCACUGAAAAAGAAUGAAGAAUUCAUAUAAGAGAAGAAUGGAAAAAAAUAAAAUAAAUGAUAGAUCAUGUGGUUAUGUGAA